GACGAACGCUGGCGGCGCGCUUAACACAUGCAAGUCGAACGGAAAGGCCUGCUUUCCCUUGUGGAUUGCGGGUACUCGAGUGGCGAACGGGUGAGUAACACGUGAGUGAUCUGCCCCCAACUUGGGUAUAAGCCUGGGAAACUGGGUCUAAUUCCCGAUAGGACUGCAGGGUGGUGCCUGUGGUGGAAAACGAUUUUCUAGUGGUUGGGGAUGAGCUCGCGGCCUAUCAGCUUGUUGGUGGGGUAAUGGCCUACCAAGGCGGCGACGGGUAGCCGGCCUGAGAGGGUGGACGGCCACAUUGGGACUGAGAUACGGCCCAGACUCCUACGGGAGGCAGCAGUGGGGAAUAUUGCACAAGGGGCGGAAGCCUGAUGCAGCGACGCCGCGUGGGGGAUGACGGCCUUCGGGUUGUAAACUCCUUUCGACCGCGAGGAAGCCACCUGGUUGGAAGGGUGGUGACGGUAGUGGGAGAAGAAGCACCGGCUAACUACGUG
rnacentral:rRNA from 1 species